rnacentral:rRNA from 1 species
UACGAAGGGGCUAGCGUUGUUCGGAAUUACUGGGCGUAAAGCGCACGUAGGCGGGCGAUUAAGUCAGGGGUGAAAUCCCGGAGCUCAACUCCGGAACUGCCUUUGAUACUGGUCGUCUAGAGAUCGGAAGAGGUGAGUGGGAAUUCCCAGUGUAGAGGUGAAAUUCGUAGAUAUUGGGAAGAACACCAGUGGCGAAGGCGGCUCACUGGUCCGAUACUGACGCUGAGGUGCGAAAGCGGUGGGGAGCAAACAGGG